GGAUCCUUAAUAAAUACAAAUACAGCAUGGUAUGUUCUGUGUCAAACUCUCUUAUUGCCCUGUCUCUCUCUCUCUCUCUCUCUCUCUCUCUCGCUCUUUCUCGUAUCUCUCUUUGCUGCAGGUUCGGAGCACAGUUAAAAGGAUCAAGGAGAGAAGAAAAGCGCUACGUUUUUCAAACUGUGCCAGCUCCAGACCCUCCAGCUCAUUGACCAGCUCCCGGCCCGCCAUCUCCCCCACGCCCUCCCCCCAGGGCCCCCAAGGUCCCAGCCUGGACGAAGGGGGAGACAAGACCUGCUCCGGCCAGCUCAGCCCACUCCCCAACCCUACCUACCCCCACAUCCCAGGCCUUGUGGAGGAGAACGCCAACAGAGGUCAGCUGUCCAUUCCUUGUGUCCCAAAGAGCCUAAAGGAUUCCCACAGUCAUGCUACAGGUGUCUUGAUCCCCAGAAUGGACAACCCUCCCAAAGCCAUGGAGGCCAUGCUAGGUGGAUGUAGCCUUCACGUACCCAUGAUGGACGUCGAGCUCACGUCUUGUUUCUCCCUCCCCGAAACCCUAACCCCCAGAAAACCUACGGCCUUGUAUAUUUAG
rnacentral:lncRNA from 1 species